rnacentral:rRNA from 1 species
UGGGGAAUUUUGGACAAUGGGCGAAAGCCUGAUCCAGCAAUGCCGCGUGUGUGAAGAAGGCCUUCGGGUUGUAAAGCACUUUUGUCCGGAAAGAAAUCCUUGGCUCUAAUACAGUCGGGGGAUGACGGUACCGGAAGAAUAAGCACCGGCUAACUACGUGCCAGCAGCCGCGGUAAUACGUAGGGUGCAAGCGUUAAUCGGAAUUACUGGGCGUAAAGCGUGCGCAGGCGGUUUGCUAAGACCGAUGUGAAAUCCCCGGGCUCAACCUGGGAACUGCAUUGGUGACUGGCAGGCUAGAGUAUGGCAGAGGGGGGUAGAAUUCCACGUGUAGCAGUGAAAUGCGUAGAGAUGUGGAGGAAUACCGAUGGCGAAGGCAGCCCCCUGGGCCAAUACUGACGCUCAUGCACGAAAGCGUGGGGAGCAAAACAGGAUUAGAUACCCUGGUAGUCCACGCCUAAACGAUGUCAACUAGUUGUUGGGGAUUCAUUUCCUUAGUAACGUAGCUAACGCGUGAAGUUGACCGCCUGGGGAGUACGGUC